rnacentral:rRNA from 1 species
UACGAAGGGGGCUAGCGUUGCUCGGAAUCACUGGGCGUAAAGGGUGCGUAGGCGGGUCUUUAAGUCAGGGGUGAAAUCCUGGAGCUCAACUCCAGAACUGCCUUUGAUACUGAGGAUCUUGAGUUCGGGAGAGGUGAGUGGAACUGCGAGUGUAGAGGUGAAAUUCGUAGAUAUUCGCAAGAACACCAGUGGCGAAGGCGGCUCACUGGCCCGAUACUGACGCUGAGGCACGAAAGCGUGGUGAGCAAACAGG